UGGGGUGUCGUUCAACGGUAGGACAGAGGACUCUGGAUCCUUUAAUUGGGGUUCGAAUCCCUGCACCCCAG
rnacentral:tRNA from 1 species